CUUUAGUUGCGACAGUGGACUUCUACUUUGUCACUAGUUUUGACUGUACCUCAUAUCCGAAGAAGCUGAAGAGUCACACGUUUCAGUGGGUCCAAUAGUUGCAUCAUUGGCCUAAUAACAACACCGUAGCUUCAUACAAACGUCAAAACCGUGCAGGCUAGUAGUUUUCAAAUGCCUCUAUGAUUGUCGCCACACAUACUGGAGAGUAAGAGGCGAUAACUGAGGAUGGCUGUGCAGAGGUUACAAAAGCCACAUCUGUCGACAGAAAGACGGGGAACUUGAGCAGCCACCGGUUGGCUCAGUUUCUGUCAGACUGCUUCAGAUCCUGUCUGAUGGGUUUUAGGUGCUCAAGAAACUCUUUUGGUGGUAGAAGUAGUAGGCUACA